rnacentral:lncRNA from 1 species
AUUGUUAGGUUUGUUUAAUCUAUAUAAACACUAAAGUUUUAUUCACCUAAAAUAAUGUGGAAUAUAUGAUGAGUGAGUCAAAUAUACGAAAACAAAUCGAGGUGAGACUAAUUAUCAUUAUUUUCUACACAGGGGUGUAUGAAACUCGUAAAGCUAUGUUAUGUUAUCUCAAAAUUAACAUUUUUGGUUUAUUUUAUUAUCACUUUGAAAGAUCAAACUUCCCAGGUGAGAAUAUUACCACCUGCGCCAAGACCGUGACACACUUGGCUCUCAUUUUAUUAUCACUUUGAAAGCAUCAUCUUGACAGGUUUGUUAAUCUGAUAUUUUUGGUGUCAUUUGACUAAUUGUGCUACUGAGAGGCAAUUUAACAGGAAGCAUGUAGUUUUUGGGAAGCGUGUUGAAGGGCUUCAAGUGUUGAGGAGAAUUAAAGAUGUGGGUGAUGAUGAAGGGCCAACGAACGGUUCUAAAUAAGUCCCACAUUAUUUUUGGAUAAAACAUUGUUGGUGUUUAUAUAACUUUUUCAUACAUAAAUUAUAGACAUGUUGGAUACUAGGUUUGGGCUGAAUUUUGAUGGGUUUUGGGUCCAAAUGUUUCUUUAAUUUUUAGAAGACUCGCUACACUCUCCAUCUUCUAAAACAAAAUUUUGAAUAUUUUCGUAUCUAAUUGACUUCUAUCAUGAAUGUAUGAAAAUUGUGAUAAUCAUGAAUGUAUGAAAAUUGUGAUAAUUCAUCCUCUC